rnacentral:rRNA from 1 species
CCUACGGGUGGCAGCAGUGAGGAAUAUUGCACAAUGGGGGAAACCCUGAUGCAGCGACGCCGCGUGAGUGAAGAAGUAUUUCGGUAUGUAAAGCUCUAUCAGCAGGGAAGAAAAUGACUGUACCUGAUUAAGAAGCCCCGGCUAACUACGUGCCAGCAGCCGCGGUCAUACGUAGGGGGCCAGCGUUAUCCGGAUUUACUGGGUGUAAAGGGAGCGUAGACGGCAGCACAAGUCUGGAGUGAAAUGUCGGGGCUUAACCCCGGAACUGCCGUGGAAACUAGUGAUCUUGAGUGCAGGAGAGGUAAGCGGAAUUCGUGGUGUAGCGGUGAAAUGCGUAGAUAUUAGGAGGAACACCAGUGGCGAAGGCGGCUUACUGGACUGUAACUGACGUUGAGGCUCGAAAGCGUGGGGAGCAAACAGGAUUAGAUACCCGGGUAGUC